rnacentral:rRNA from 1 species
CCUACGGGUGGCUGCAGUGGGGAAUAUUGGGCAAUGGGCGAAAGCCUGACCCAGCCACGCCGCGUGAGUGAUGAAGGCCUUCGGGUCGUAAAGCUCUGUGGGGAGGGACGAACAAGGUGCGGGCUAAUCACCGCGCCCCUGACGGUACCUCCUUAGCAAGCACCGGCUAACCCUGUGCCAGCAGCCGCGGUAAUACAGGGGGUGCAAACGUUGCUCGGAAUCAUUGGGCGUAAAGCGCGCGUAGGCGGUUGCUUAAGUCGGAUGUGAAAGCCCUU